rnacentral:rRNA from 1 species
GUCCACGCCGUAAACGAUGGAUGCUAGCCGUGGGGUCCUUAGGGCUCGGUGGCGCAGCUAACGCGUUAAGCAUCCCGCCUGGGGAGUACGGUCGCAAGAUUAAAACUCAAAGGAAUUGACGGGGACCCGCACAAGCGGUGGAGCAUGUGGUUUAAUUCGAGGCAACGCGAAGAACCUUACCAGGCCUUGACAUGUCCAGUAUGGGGAUCAGAGACGAUCUCCUUCAGUUUGGCUGGCUGGAACACAGGUGCUGCAUGGCUGUCGU